rnacentral:rRNA from 1 species
AUGGUGAUCUCCCACUCGAGCUCCGGCGUCGGCGAGUCCGCGUACAACACCUUCUCGUCGCGCUAUGCCCGCGUGGAACUCCCGAGGUACCGGAUGCCGGAGAACUCGAUCCCCAAGGAGACGGCGUACCAGAUGAUCACCGACGAGCUGAUGCUGGACGGCAACCCACGGCUGGACCUUGCGUCCUUCGUCACCACGUGGAUGGAGCCCGAGUGCGACAAGCUCAUCAUGGACUCCAUCAACAAAAACUACGUCGACAUGGACGAGUACCCCGUCACCACCGAGCUCCAGAACCGUUGUGUCAAUAUGAUUGCUCACUUAUUCAAUGCACCAAUAAACGAGGAUGAGAAAGCUAUUGGAGUCUCAACAGUUGGAUCCUCGGAAGCAAUAAUGCUUGCAGGCCUUGCGUUCAAGAGGAAGUGGGCAAAUAAAAGGAAGGAGGAGGGGAAGCCAUAUGACAAACCGAACAUUGUUACUGGUGCAAAUGUUCAGGUUUGUUGGGAGAAAUUUGCUAGAUAUUUUGAAGUAGAAUUGAAGGAGGUCAAGUUAACUGAAGGAUACUAUGUAAUGGAUCCUUUGAAGGCCGUUGAGAUGGUGGAUGAGAACACUAUAUGUGUUGCAGCCAUCUUGGGAUCAACUCUCACUGGAGAGUACGAAGAUGUCAAACUAUUGAAUGACCUUCUUGUGGAAAAGAACAAGGAAACGGGGUGGAAUGUGCCAAUCCAUGUUGAUGCGGCUAGUGGAGGAUUUAUCGCUCCUUUUCUACAUCCUGAGCUUGAGUGGGACUUCAGGCUACCAUUGGUGAAGAGCAUAAAUGUUAGUGGACACAAGUAUGGCCUUGUCUACCCUGGUGUUGGAUGGGUCGUUUGGCGGAGCAAAGACGAUUUGCCCGAAGAACUCAUUUUCCAUAUAAACUAUCUAGGGACAGAUCAGCCCACAUUUACACUGAACUUUUCCAAAGGUGCAAGCCAGAUAAUUGCACAAUACUAUCAACUGAUACGCCUUGGCUUCGAGGGAUACAAGCACAUCAUGGAGAAUUGCCAGGCAAAUGCAGCCGUGCUGAGGGAGGGCAUGGAGGCCACUGGCCGAUUCAGCAUCGUGUCCAAGGAGGACGGCGUGCCAUUAGUCGCCGCUUCGCUCAAGGACAGCACCAAAUUCAGCGUGUUCGACGUCUCCGAGAACCUGCGGAAAUUCGGCUGGAUCGUGCCAGCCUACACGAUGGCUCCGGAUGCGGAGCACGUCGCCGUCCUCCGUGUGGUCAUCAGGGAGGACUUCAGCCGGAGCCUCGCCCAGCGGCUCCUCGCGGACAUCAACAAGGUCCUGCACGAGCUGGACACUCAUGCAGCCCAUGCCAUUAAGGUCACUGCUCCUACCGCAACACAAAACGGCAAUGGCGUGAACGGCGACGACACCGUGACACAGAAGAGCGUCCUGGACACCGAGAAGAAGUUCGUUGCGGCCUGCAUGUCCCUGGUAAAGAAAAACAAGAAGACUGGAGUCUGCUGA